UACAAAGGAUGCAAGCGUUAUCCGGAAUGAUUGGGCGUAAAGCGUCUGUAGGUGGCUUUUUAAGUCCGCCGUCAAAUCCCAGGGCUCAACUCUGGACAGGCGGUGGAAACUACCAAGCUGAAGUACGGUAGGGGCAGAGGGAAUUUCCGGUGGAGCGGUGAAAUGCGUAGAGAUCGGAAAGAACACCAACGGCGAAAGCACUCUGCUGGGCGAUACUGACACUGGAGAGACGAAAGCUAGGGGAGCGAAUGGG
rnacentral:rRNA from 1 species